UUCAAGCAAGAAAAAGACACACACUGGCACACACACAGUGUGUUUUUGGCAACAAAUUUCAACGCCAUUAAAGUGAUUAAUGGUAAUCACAAGCAAGCAAGGAGUUGCGAGCUCACUAUUUAACUGCCACCCUCUCUCUCUCUCUCUCGUCAUCAGCAUCGUCGUCAUCGCCAUUCAUCACUAUCAUCUUUCACUCCAAGAUUGCAAUUUGCGAGCAUCCUUUUUUUCUCUCACACAGUCACACAUAAAUAAAAAAACUAGAAAUCUCGGCGCAAGACCUUCUUACCUGGUCGGACCAUUUCCAGGUAAAAUUACCUUGACAAAAUAAGGAAAUCUUGGCUUUACUGAAUAAAGUUUCAGUUUUUACUCUGUUUUAGCUUUUAUUUUUUGGGUACAAUUGGAGACCAAUUCUUGAAUAAUUAAUCUCUGAGUUUUGUGAUGUGAAACUUGACGGUGGAAUCCUUUCUCGUUUGAUGUUGAUUCCAAUUCCAGCUUCUGUUCUAUUUAUAGUCUGCUCUAUUUCAAUUCUUGAUAGAGAUGGAUAUUUUAUAGAGGAAAAUUGUUUUGUUUGUGUCCCUUAAAAGGUAUUGCGCCAGGCAUAUUCUGCUAUUGAUGAUUAGAAAUUGAUGAAAAUUAGUGAAAAAGAUUGUUGCAUGGCAUUGUAAAGCAUGCAGUUUAGCCUUUAUUAGUACAUCCAAUUUAUGAUCAGACAUGAUCUUUACCAGUCUACUCUUUCUCCUUUCAUAUAUGGGUGUUAGGAUUCAUGGAAUUAUUUAAAGAAUGUGACAUGGGAGAGAUCACACUAAUCUGUAUGAAAACUAUAGUUAAAGAAACUGGCAUUCUGAUUUCAGACAAUAUUUUGGUCCUCGAACUUCUUUGGUUGCUGUGUGUUUACACCAAUGUCUAAAUAAACAGAUGGUAGAUGGUUUGAGGUCAUAAAAUCAAAUUACUUUCAAAAAAGAGAAAAGAAAAAGAGGAUAGUUUGAUAGGUUGAUAGAGGAUUGUAAUUUGUACGAGUUAGUCCCUAGAUAUGUAAAGUUUAAAGCUAAAAGUUUUGCAGAUUUUACCUGUUGUAAUGUAGAUCUUAUCAAGUUGUUAUAAAAGACAGCCAUUUCACGUCUAGUCGUGGUACUUUGCUUCUGUCAAUUGGUUUGCUCCUCUUGACUGAUAGAAGAAAACUGAAUUAGCAUUCAUAUGUUCUUACAAUAGGCUGACCAUACACUGGAUACGUCACGGAAGAGAUGGGUGCAAUUAGUCUGUGGCCCGGAAUUUUCUUCUUUUUCAUUGCGCUGAGUGCAUUCUACCAAUCUUCUGCUGAUGGGAUCGAAGCAGACCAACCCGUUGCUCUUUAUGUAAAUGCGUCCGAAGCAUCAGCAAAAAAGAUACCAAAAACCUUGUUUGGUAUAUUUUUUGAGGUGAGUUUGAUCAGCGUUCACGGAAUUUUGUAUAUACACCAUAGCUCAUCAGCAUCAGUUACACAUCUUGCAGCACCAAUUUAAUAUUCCAGCGCUCGCUGGGUUUCCAGCGGUGCUGGGACUCAGCGGGCGUUGGUUUUCAUGGAAUUCAAUUCCAGAAUUAUCCCCUAAAGUCUUCGAAAAUCAGUGAAAAUCGGGGUGAAAUCCAACCACGAAUUCUUUGAAAGUCGUCUGGAAUCUAUGUGAAUUCCAUGGAAUUUAAAUUCCAUGGACUUUUUUAAAGUCUGUGUAAAUCCACAACUUAUACACCCCCCUAAAUCUCUAGCUAACUGGGCAAUGGCAUGAGUCUGUUACUUUAAAUUCCUUCAUAUCAUUUCAAUGUUAUUUACAUAAAGGAUCAAUAAGAAUGUUAACUCAUUAGCAGAUGUGUAAGUAUUCAGAUACACAGAUAGAAAGAGAAGAACAGGUAAUCAAUCAGCCAACCUACGAGGAGGAUUUCAGAAG
rnacentral:lncRNA from 1 species